GCGUGCCUAAUACAUGCAAGUCGAGCGGAGUUUUUAAAAGCUUGCUUUUAAAAACUCAGCGGCGGACGGGUGAGUAACACGUGGGCAACCUGCCCUGNUAGACUGGGAUAACUUCGGGAAACCGAAGCUAAUACCGGAUAAUCAUAGAAGUUGCAUAGCUUCUAUGUAAAAGUUGGGUUUACCUAACACUACAGGAUGGGCCCGCGUCGCAUUAGCUAGUUGGUAAGGUAACGGCUUACCAAGGCGACGAUGCGUAGCCGACCUGAGAGGGUGAUCGGCCACACUGGGACUGAGACACGGCCCAGACUCCUACGGGAGGCAGCAGUAGGGAAUCUUCCGCAAUGGACGAAAGUCUGACGGAGCAACGCCGCGUGAGCGAUGAAGGCCUUCGGGUCGUAAAGCUCUGUUGUUAGGGAAGAACAAGUGCUAUUCGAAUAGGGUGGCACCUUGACGGUACCUAACGAGAAAGCCACGGCUAACUACGUGCCAGCAGCCGCGGUAAUACGUAGGUGGCAAGCGUUGUCCGGAAUUAUUGGGCGUAAAGCGCGCGCAGGCGGUCUCUUAAGUCUGAUGUGAAAGCCCACGGCUCAACCGUGGAGGGUCAUUGGAAACUGGGAGACUUGAGUACAGAAGAGGAGAGUGGAAUUCCAUGUGUAGCGGUGAAAUGCGUAAAUAUAUGGAGGAACACCAGUGGCGAAGGCGACUCUCUGGUCUGUAACUGACGCUGAGGCUCCAAAGCGUGGGGAGCGAACAGGAUUAAAUACCCUGGUUAUUC
rnacentral:rRNA from 1 species